rnacentral:tRNA from 1 species
UAUAGCUCAAUAGCAGAGCACUUGCUUAGUGUGCAUGAGGCCCUGGGAUCAAUCCCCAGUA